AGUAACACGUGGGCAACCUGCCCUGAAGCGGGGGAUAACAUCUGGAAACAGGUGCUAAUACCGCAUAACAACGAAAACCACAUGGUUUUCGUUUCAAAGAUGGUUUCGGCUAUCACUUCAGGAUGGGCCCGCGGUGCAUUAGCUAGUUGGUAAGGUAACGGCUUACCAAGGCAAUGAUGCAUAGCCGAGUUGAGAGACUGAUCGGCCACAAUGGAACUGAGACACGGUCCAUACUCCUAGGAGGCAGCAGUC
rnacentral:rRNA from 1 species